UUGCCUUGAUGGGUUGUCGCUGGCUUUGAAACUCAGAGCAUGUGCACACCUGUCUUGGUCUUCUAUUCAUCCAACUGUGCACCUUCUGUAGUCUUUUUGGGGGCUGGGGAAGCAGGUGCAGCUUAUACAGCUGGGCUUGUGAUAACCUCCCACUAGAGGCUAUGUUUUUACAUAUACCACUUAGAAUGUAACAGAAUGUUGUCAAUGGGCACUUGUGGCCUAUAUAAAACCUAUACAACUUUCAGCAACGGAUCUCUUGGCUCUCGCAUCGAUGAAGAACGCAGCGAAAUGCGAUAAGUAAUGUGAAUUGCAGAAUUCAGUGAAUCAUCGAAUCUUUGAACGCACCUUGCGCUCCUUGGCAUUCCGAGGAGCAUGCCUGUUUGAGUGUCAUUAAAUUCUCAACCCCACCAGCUUUUGUGGCUGGCUCUUGGGGCUUGGAUUGUGAGGUUUUGCUGGCUGCAAGGUCAGCUCCUCUGAAAUGCAUUACGCGGAACCGUUUGCGAUCCGUCACAGGUGUGAUAAUUAUCUACGCCUAGUGGGUUGCUUUCUGUCUUGUUCAGCUUAUAAUCGUCCUCAUGGACAAUUUAUUGAACGCUUGACCUCAAAUCAGGUAGGAUUACCCGCUGAACUUAAGCAUAUCAAUAAGCGGAGGAAAAGAAACUAACAAGGAUUCCCCUAGUAACUGCGAGUGAAGCGGGAAAAGCUCAAAUUUAAAAUCUGGCAGUCUUUGGCUGUCCGAGUUGUAAUCUAGAAAAGUAAU
rnacentral:rRNA from 1 species